rnacentral:rRNA from 1 species
AGCUCCAAUAGCGUAUAUUAAAGUUGUUGCGGUUAAAAAGCUCGUAGUUGGAUUUCUGUCGAGGGCGAUCGGUCCGCACUAUGUGCGUGUAUCUGUUAUCUCUUGGCAUCCUCUUGGGGAACGUUUCUGCGCUUGAUUGCGUGGGGCGGAAUUCAAGACUUUUACUUUGAGGAAAUUAGAGUGUUCACGGCAAGCUAUCGCUUUGAAUACAUUAGCAUGGAAUAAUAAUAUAGGGCGUAAGCUUUAUUUUGUUGGUUUCUAGAGCAUACGCAAUGAUUAAUAGGGAUAAUUGGGGGCAUUCGUAUUGACACGUCAGAGGUGGAAUUCUUAGAUUGUGUCACGACGAACUACUGCGAAAGCAUUUGCCAAGGAUGUUUUCA